AUACUUACCUGGCAGGGGAAAUACCAUGAUCAUAAAGGUGGUUUUCCUAGGCUGAAGCUCAUCCAUUGCACUUUGGGGGUACUGACUCCUGCAAUUUCCCUCUGAAAGGGGAGACUUGACUGCACAGUUUUUGGUAGUGGGGGAUUGCAUUUGUGCUUUUCUCUG
ensembl:snRNA U1 U1 spliceosomal RNA